CCUCAUUUAUUCAGGUUCACGAACGGUUUCUGUAACAUAUACAAGCUUGGCCUAUAAAUAAGUCUUCUGUAAUCGAUGAAGACCUACACCGUACAAAUAUCUUACAGCCUAACCAUCUCACGCAUCACCAUUAUCGGCUUUACUCAUUCCAAAAAACGUUCUCCUAGCCGUUUCUUAAUGUUUGUUUGCUUUUAUGAUGCAUCUAAAUCUGAACAGAGCAGAAACUCCUUUGCUCGAGACUGUACCUGACCUGAACAUAUGAAAAUUAGGCUCGAUGCCACUGAAUAUGCCAGUGAGAUGCCAUUAACUCAGGUAGCUAGCUAAUUUUUUACUGUAUUUGGUUGAUGAUUCAUGUUUUUGUUGGUUCACAGGUGGAUAUUAAGAAUCUGAAUGUGUUUUAACCGAUUACUAACAGCGCCAAGCCAACCAGAUAAUGGGAGAAGUAACUCAGGGAGCUAAUGACUUGCCUGGUGCUGCAGCUGAUAAGACAAGCCUCUCUCCUGUUGUGAACAGAGUUGUGCAACAAAGACAAAAGGCUAUACUGUUGAUGGUGUGGUCGAGAAAGGGAACAGCUAAUACUGUUGAUGGUGUGGUCGAGAAAGGGAACAGCUAAGACAGAUCCACCAACUGACCCCCUGUUGAUGUCAGAAACACUGGAAGAAGAACCAGCUCUGGAGGAUUGUCACUCCGCUAAGAAGACCCGCAUAAGACUGAAGUCUGACCUAAGGAGUAAAUGAGUUUGCGUGAAGACUUCUCAUUCUCAACCUUUUUUAUUUGAGUUUUUCUUCUUCUAAGUUUUAGUUUAUUUCUUUGAUCAAAAAAAGUUUUAGUUAAUUUCAUGGGAAAUCUACUUUAUCAGGUUAUUAUUAAAUGAACAAAAACCAGUUUCAC